GUGGGCACUGGGGUGAGGCUCGUGUCACCUGGCCCCCCCCGCAGCCGGGGUAGUGCGGGACACGCCGCCUCCCUGCCGGGCAGCGCUGCGGGCCCAGCUAAAGCACGUGACUCGGGAGGUGACGGACGAACACCUUUGUCACGUCCUUCCCCCGUCCCCAGCCCGCGAUGCGCUGGUUGGCGGAGGGGGAUGGGACACAGGACAAUUGUAGCGGGUACCUGGCAACAUCUGUCCUGCGGUGUGAAUAAAGUGAAAUGGGGAGGGGGGGGGCAGCAAUGAUGCACCAAACUUCUCUUGAGGUGCAGGGGGCCACUGGCUGUGGAUACAACUAGGGCUGGGGCUUCAGGUAGCAGCUAAAGUUGUCAAUAUUUCUUCUUCUCCUGAGUUCCAUCAAGCAGCACUCUUGGCAGGAAGCCUGUAGGCAGUUGCAGAAAAGGGGUCAGGGACCCGACCAACCCACUCUGGAAAAGGGGUGAUCUAAAGAAUCAUGCCAAUGUAGUUUACACAGUGGCUGCAAGGAGCAGAGGUACCCGCAUGAUUGCAUGCUGCAACCAGUGCUUUGAAAAGGACACUUUCAUUGUUUCAAAUGGAAACUCCAUGCACAAACAACAUGAAUGAGAAUACAAUUGGGAUGACUGAUCAGACACCACCCUCCCGAAGACUUAAUCUUUAGAAUACUGCUUAGAACGAUUUAAAAGCAAUUGCCUAUGGGCCAGAUCUUCACCAGAUAUAAAUUGGCAUGCUCCAUUGAAUUCCAUGAAGUUAUAUCAAUUUACAGCAGCUGCGGAUCUGGCCCCAUACAUCUGUGACAUUAGUCUUGAUUCAGUGUAUAUGAGGAGUUUUGCAAUCGGCUUUAUAGUGUUCAUGCAAAAGUUGAAAGUGUAAGGUGCUUUACAGAGAAAGAUGAAAACAAGGACUCUGGCCUACUGAUGCUACUCCAGUGCAUUACUAGAGAGGUGAUAAGCCCUUGGAGGGACCCUUACUUGGUC